GGACUACUGGGGUUUCUAAUCCCAUUCGCUCCCCUGGCUUUCGUUCCUCAGCGUCAGUUACAGCCCAGCAAGCCGCUUACGCCACUGGUGUUCUUCCCAAUAUCUACGCAUUUCACCGCUACACUGGGAAUUCCGCUUGCCUCUACUGCACUCCAGUCCGCCAGUAUCCAAUGCACUCCCGGGGUUGGGCCCCGAUCUUUAACAUCAGACUUAACGAACCACCUACGAACUCUUUACGCCCAAUAAAUCCGGACAACGCUUGCAUCCUACGUCUUACCGCGGCGGCUGGCAC
rnacentral:rRNA from 1 species